UAAGCUAUGAGGAUGCAAAGGCAUAAGAACGACACUGUGGACUUUGGGGACUCAGGGGGAAAGGGUAGGAAAGGGAUGAGGGACAAAAGACUAAAAAUUGGGUUCAGUGUAUACUCUUCGGGUGAUGGGUGCACCAAAAUCUCACAAGUCACCACUAAAGAACUUACUCAUGUAACCAAACACCACCUGUUCCCCCAAAACUUAUGGAAAUUUAAAAAAAAAAAAACGGAAGCAGAAGUGGAGCUUUUAAAAGGAAUCAGUGGACCAGGCAUGGUGGCUCACACUUGUAAUCCUAGCACUCUGGGAGGCCAAGGCAGAAGGAUCAUUUGAGCUCAGGAGUUCAAGACAGCCUGGGCAACAUAUUAAGACUUCGUCUCGCUUUUUUUUCGUCUGGGCUGCCAACAUGCCAUCCAGACUGAGGAAGACCCGGAAACUUCGGGGCCACGUGAGCCACGGCCACGGCCGCAUAGGCAAGCACCGGAAGCAUCCCGGAGGCCGUGGUAAUGCUGGUGGUCUGCAUCACCACCGGAUCAACUUUGACAAAUACCACCCAGGCUACUUUGGGAAAGUUGGUAUGAAGCAUUCCCACUUAAAGAGGAACCAGAGCUUCUGUCCAACUGUCAACCUUGACAAAUUGUGGACUUUGGUCAGUGAACAGACACGGGUGAAUGCUGCUAAAAACAAGACUGGGGCUGCUCCCAUCAUUGAUGUGGUGCGAUUGGGCUACUACAAAGUUCUGGGAAAGGGAAAGCUCCCAAAGCAGCCUGUCAUCGUGAAGGCCAAAUUCUUCAGCAGAAGAGCUGAGGAGAAGAUUAAGAGUGUUGGGGGGGCCUGUGUCCUGGUGGCUUGAAGCCACAUGGAGGGAGUUUCAUUAAAUGCUAACUACUUUAAAAAAAAAAAAAAAAAAAAAAAAAAAAAAAAAAA